UACGUAGGGGGCAAGCGUUGUCCGGAAUCAUUGGGCGUAAAGCGCGUGUAGGCGGCUCGGUAAGUCUGCUGUGAAAGUCCAGGGCUCAACCCUGGGAUGCCGGUGGAUACUGUCGAGCUCGAGUCCGGAAGAGGCGAGUGGAAUUCCUGGUGUAGCGGUGAAAUGCGCAGAUAUCAGGAGGAACACCAAUAGCGAAGGCAGCUCGCUGGGACGGUAUUGACGCUGAGGCGCGAAGGCGUGGGGAGCAAACAGG
rnacentral:rRNA from 1 species